rnacentral:tRNA from 1 species
ACCUGGCUGGCUUAGUCAAUAGAGCAUGUGAUUCCUGAUCUCCAGGUGGUGAGUUCGAGUCCUAUGUUGGGUG